rnacentral:piRNA from 1 species
UCCCAAGUCCAUGUCACUAUAAUCUUGUGU